AGGAUGAACGCUAGCGGCAGGCCUAAUACAUGCAAGUCGGACGGGAUUGGAGAGCUUGCUUUCCAUGAGAGUGGCGCACGGGUGCGUAACACGUAUGUAACCUACCUUCGUCAGGGGGAUAGCCUCUCGAAAGAGAGAUUAAGACCGCAUAACAUUAUGAAGUAGCAUUACUUUAUAAUCAAAUAUUUAUAGGACGAAGAUGGGCAUGCGGAACAUUAGCUAGUUGGUAAGGUAACGGCUUACCAAGGCUACGAUGUUUA
rnacentral:rRNA from 1 species